rnacentral:rRNA from 1 species
GACGUAGGGCGCGAGCGUUGUCCGGAUUUAUUGGGCGUAAAGAGCUCGUAGGCGGCUUGUUGCGUCAGCCGUGUGAAAACCCGCAGCUCAACUGUGGGCUUGCAGCUGAUACGGGCAGGCUUGAGUUCGGUAGGGGAGACUGGAAUUCCUGGUGUAGCGGUGAAAUGCGGCAGAUAUCAGGAGGAACACCGGUGGCGAAGGCGGGUCUCUGGGGCC